GAGAAUGGAUUCAAAUGUCUCUAUUUUCGCGCCAUCUCCAACAAUUACAGAUAGCCUUUUAAGUAUUCUAAAAGAUAAUUUAUUCAAUGAUCUAGCUCUUAGCAAAUACUAUUACAAAGUACCCUACGAUUCAUUCUCACCUAAUAUUAAAAUAUGUACAAAACCAUUAAAAAAAUUAUACUGGUACUAUUAGAGGUGGCCUUAGAAUAGUUUCCCUGCCUCCUUAGCAUAAAAAAAUAGAACCUUUCAUUCUUUAUUGGUUUGUUUGACUGGGACCAAACCCAGCAGAUUUUCUAUUAUAUCAUCUAUCCUAAAAGUAGUUAAUACCUAAAAAAGGUUUCUAGGAGAUAAUCUAUCUUACCCUCUAAAAACAGAGCGUCAUAUAUAUUAGAAAUAUAAACUUAAACUCUAAAUAUUGGAAAUAUUAACUUAAACUCUAAAUAUAAAUGUUCUUUCAUAUAUCAACAGGGUUUUCCUUACCGCGUUAAUCAGCCCCUCCGCGGAGACGCGGUAUGAC
rnacentral:lncRNA from 1 species